CCUACGGGGGGCAGCAGUGAGGAAUAUUGGUCAAUGGACGAGAGUCUGAACCAGCCAAGUAGCGUGAAGGAUGACUGCCCUAUGGGUUGUAAACUUCUUUUAUAUGGGAAUAAAACGUUCCACGUGUGGGAUUUUGUAUGUACCAUAUGAAUAAGGAUCGGCUAACUCCGUGCCAGCAGCCGCGGUAAUACGGAGGAUCCGAGCGUUAUCCGGAUUUAUUGGGUUUAAAGGGAGCGUAGGUGGAUUGUUAAGUCAGUUGUGAAAGUUUGCGGCUCAACCGUAAAUUUGCAGUUGAAACUGGCAGUCUUGAGUACAGUAGAGGUGGGCGGAAUUCGUGGUGUAGCGGUGAAAUGCUUAGAUAUCACGAAGAACUCCGAUUGCGAAGGCAGUUCACUGGACUGCAACUGACACUGAGGCUCGAAAGUGUGGGUAUCAAACAGGAUUAGAUACCCCAGUAGUC
rnacentral:rRNA from 1 species